AGAGUUUGAUCAUGGCUCAGAAUGAACGCUGGCGGCAGGCCUAACACAUGCAAGUCGAACGGGUGUCUUCGGGCACUAGUGGCGGACGGGUGAGUAACGCGUGGGAACAUACCCAAAGGUACGGAAUAGCCUCGGGAAACUGGGAGUAAUACCGUAUGUGCCCUUCGGGGGAAAGAUUUAUCGCCUUUGGAUUGGCCCGCGUUGGAUUAGGUAGUUGGUGGGGUAAUGGCCUACCAAGCCGACGAUCCAUAGCUGGUUUGAGAGGAUGAUCAGCCACACUGGGACUGAGACACGGCCCAGACUCCUACGGGAGGCAGCAGUGGGGAAUCUUAGACAAUGGGGGCAACCCUGAUCUAGCCAUGCCGCGUGAUCGAUGAAGGCCUUAGGGUUGUAAAGAUCUUUCAGAUGGGAAGAUAAUGACGGUACCAUCAGAAGAGCC
rnacentral:rRNA from 1 species